rnacentral:rRNA from 1 species
GUCUACAGCCAUGUCACCCUUAACACGCCCGAUCUCGUCUGAUCUCGGAAGCUAAGCGGGGUCGGGCCUGGUUAGUACUUGGAUGAGAGACCACCUAGGAAGACCAGGUGCUGUAGUCU